AAUUAACGCUGGCAGAGUGCAUAACACAUGCAAGUCGAGCGGGAGCAUCUGCGAUUACAUCAAGGGUGCUCUAGCGGCAGACGAGUGAGUAACACGUAAACAACAUGCCCUGGACUGGGGAAUAACGCGCCGAAAGGCGUGCUAAUGCCCCGUACUAUCCUUAGAUGGCAUCAUUUGAGGAUGAUGGGUUUCGACCGUUCCAGGAGUGGUGCGUCCCAUCAGCUAGUUGGCGGUGUAAUAGACCACCAAGGCUAUGACGGGUACCCGGCCUGAAAGGGCGGACGGGCACGAUGGCACUGAGACACGGGCCAUACUCCUACGGGAGGCAGCAGUGGGGAAUUUUGGACAAUGGGCGAAAGCCUGAUCCAGCAACUCUGCGUGAGGGACGAAGGCCUUC
rnacentral:rRNA from 1 species